ACGAACGCUGGCGGCGUGCUUAACACAUGCAAGUCGAACGAGGUUGCCCUUUGUGAAUCCUUCGGGAGGAACUGUGGGUAUACCGAGUGGCGGACGGGUGAGUAACGCGUGAGCAACCUGCCCUGCAACGGGGGACAACAGUUGGAAACGACUGCUAAUACCGCAUGAGACCACGAAACCGCAUGGUUUUGAGGUAAAAGGAUUUAUUCGAUGCAGGAUGGGCUCGCGUCCCAUUAGAUAGUUGGUGAGGUAACGGCCCACCAAGUCAACGAUGGGUAGCCGACCUGAGAGGGUGAUCGGCCACACUGGAACUGAGACACGGUCCAGACUCCUACGGGAGGCAGCAGUGGGGAAUAUUGGGCAAUGGGGGAAACCCUGACCCAGCAACGCCGCGUGAGGGAAGAAGGUCUUCGGAUUGUAAACCUUUGUCCUAUGGGACGAAAGAAAUGACGGUACCAUAGGAGGAAGCUCCGGCUAACUACGUGCCAGCAGCCGCGGUAAUACGUAGGGAGCAAGCGUUGUCCGGAAUUACUGGGCGUAAAGGGUGCGUAGGUGGUCAUGUAAGUCAGAUGUGAAAGACCGGGGCUUAACCCCGGGGUUGCAUUUGAAACUGUGUGACUUGAGUACAGGAGAGGGAAGUGGAAUUCCUAGUGUAGCGGUGAAAUGCGUAGAUAUUAGGAGGAACACCAGUGGCGAAGGCGACUUUCUGGACUGUAACUGACACUGAGGCACGAAAGCGUGGGGAGCAAACAGGAUUAGAUACCCUGGUAGUCCACGCCGUAAACGAUGGAUACUAGGUGUGGGGCCCGAUAGGGUUCCGUGCCGAAGCAAACGCAUUAAGUAUCCCGCCUGGGGAGUACGAUCGCAAGGUUGAAACUCAAAGGAAUUGACGGGGGCCCGCACAAGCAGCGGAGCAUGUGGUUUAAUUCGAAGCAACGCGAAGGACCUUACCAGGUCUUGACAUCCAGUAAAGCCUGUAGAGAUACGGAGUCCCUUCGGGGGUACUGAGACAGGUGGUGCAUGGUUGUCGUCAGCUCGUGUCGUGAGAUGUUGGGUUAAGUCCCGCAACGAGCGCAACCCCUGUGAUUAGUUGCCAGCGAGUAAUGUCGGGAACUCUAAUCAAACUGCCGGUGAUAAAUCGGAGGAAGGUGGGGACGACGUCAAAUCAUCAUGCCCCUUAUGUCUUGGGCUACACACGUGCUACAAUGGCCGGUACAAAGGGCAGCGAACCCGUAAGGGGAAGCGAAUCUCAAAAAGCCGGUCCCAGUUCGGAUUGUGGGCUGCAACCCGCCCACAUGAAGUCGGAGUUGCUAGUAAUCGCGAAUCAGCAUGUCGCGGUGAAUGCGUUCCCGGGCCUUGUACACACCGCCCGUCACACCACGGAAGUUGGGAGCACCCGAAGCCAGUGGCUUAACCGUAAGGAGAGAGCUGUCGAAGGUGAGAUCAAUGACUGGGGUG
rnacentral:rRNA from 1 species